rnacentral:snRNA from 1 species
GUACUGGCUUCAGCAGCACAUACACAAAAAUGGAACUAUACAGAGAAGAUUAGCAUGGCCCCUGUGCAAGAAUGACAUGCAAAUUCGUGAAGUGUUCCAUAUUUUU